rnacentral:rRNA from 1 species
GAUGAACGCUAGCUGGAGGCUUAAUACAUGCAAGUCGAACGGGAUUGGGUAGCAAUACCCAUGAGAGCGGCGCACGGGUGAGUAACGCGUACACGACCUACCUCUAACAGGGGGAUAGCCCUGGGAAACUGGGAUUAAUACCGCAUAUAAUUCUGAAUAAUAAAGGUUUGGAAUGAAAGCUGAGGCGGUUAGAGAUGGGUGUGCGUCUGAUUAGCUAGUUGGUAGGGUAACGGCCUACCAAGGCGAUGAUCAAUAGGGGGCGUGAGAGCGUGGUCCCCCACACGGGUACUGAGACACGGACCCGACUCCUACGGGAGGCAGCAGUAAGGAAUAUUGGUCAAUGGGCGAAAGCCUGAACCAGCCAUCCAGCGUGCAGGAAGAAGGCCCUAUGGGUUGUAAACUGCUUUUAUCAGGGAAGAAACCUCUGGAUUUACUCCGGAGCUGACGGUACCUGAAGAAUAAGCACCGGCUAACUCCGUGCCAGCAGCCGCGGUAACAC